rnacentral:rRNA from 1 species
GGCGAGUGAAGCGGUAAGAGCUCAAAUUUGAAAUCUCCAAGGUUUUUUACUUUGGCGAAUUGUAGUUUAAAGAACCAUUUUCUUGGAUAAACUGAGUAUAAGUCCUUUGGAACGAGGCAUCGUAGAGGGUGAUAAUCCCGUUUAUGAUUCAGUUUUAAUUCAUUUGUGAUAUGGUUUCUAAGAGUCGGGUUGUUUGGGAAUGCAGCCCUAAAGGGAGGUAAAUACCUUCUAAAGCUAAAUAUUGACGAGAGACCGAUAGCGAACAAGUACCGUGAGGGAAAGAUGAAAAGAACUUUGAAAAGAGAGUUAAAUAGUACGUGAAAUUGUCAAUAGUGAACGGUUUGGAACUAUUGUUGUGAAUUUCUAAUCAAUUACUUAUAAAGUAGUGCACUUAGAUUUUUUACAGGUCAACAUCAGUUUAAUUUGAAGUAAAAAGCUUAAAGGUUUUAUUCUCUUUUGGGUAAAACUCUUUUUGCUAUGCUUUGGAAUAGACUGAGGAAUGUAGUAUGGAUGGUGAACUUGUUGCCUUUUGAAGAUGCCUGGUAAACAAUUUAUUGAUUAUCAGGUAAUUCCUAUUAAGCCCAGCUUGUAAGCCCCUGUACUCUGGAUGUUGACGAAAUGGUUUUAAGCCACCCGUCUUGAAACACGGACCAAGGAGUCUAACAUAUCCGCGAGUAUUUGGGUGUCAAACCCACAUGCGUAAUGAAAGUGAAUAAGAUGGGAUCCAAUUUAUUUUGGUGCACCAUCGACCGGUCUGGAUUUUUUUGAUAGAUCUGAGUUAGAGCGUACAUGUUAGGACCCGAAAGAUGGUGAACUAAGCCUGAAUAGGGUGAAGUCAGAGGAAA